GUAGCUUUUUUUAUUUUUACCCUCAUGAGACACUUUGUUAUUUACUGUAAUUAUCAAAUUGUUUGUUUGGCAUUUCAGAAAG